rnacentral:rRNA from 1 species
ACAGCAGCAGCCGCGGUAAUGCGGAGGGAGCUAGCGUUAUUCGGAAUUACUGGGCGUAAAGCGCACGCAGGCGGUUUGUUAAGUCAGAUGUGAAAUCCCCGAGCUUAACUUGGGAACUGCAUUUGAAACUGGCAAGCUAGAGUCUUGUAGAGGGGGGUAGAAUUCCAGGUGUAGCGGUGAAAUGCGUAGAGAUCUGGAGGAAUACCGGUGGCGAAGGCGGCCCCCUGGACAAAGACUGACGCUCAGGUGCGAAAGCGUGGGGAGCAAACAGGAUUAGAUACCCGAGUAGUCCCUGUCUCUUAUAC